GAAGGAGGCUCCAUCACAAAUAGGCCAACAACUACCAUUUGAGAGGGAAGAUUGAGAUCGAGAAAGGGCAUGUUAAGGUGAGAAAAGAAACAGCCUUGUUCAAGGAAAUGGAAAAUUUCAUCCUACUUUUUCCUCUGCCUUUGAAAAUUUUACUGUUUAUAAAACCACUUCAGUUUCCAGCCGGCGCUUUUGGGAUAUGUUUGAAAUGCUGUAUGAUUUUACUUUGAAUCUCAACAAACAGGAAGGUACUUUUGUAAUAUUCAAGUUAUGGCCUGAUCUCAACUUUCGUUCACGAUCUAUAUCCGUUGAUUCACUGGACUUUGUUGGUCGUUACAGAUUCUUGAAGGACCCAACAGCCACCUGCAUUUCAGGUAAAGCUAAAAGGGAACUGUGUAUCAUCACAAGAAGCAAAUUCAAGAUCGUUUUCAUGUUCAAUAGUUCUGAGCUGUUGUAUCACUCUUUGUCCAGGGUUUAAUUUGUUCCCAUAACUGUGUUAUGUGAUUCAAAUAGAGUUCAAGCCGCUUUAUAUUGGUAAAAAAAAAUAUCCCACCCUAAAAAUAUCCCACCAUUGAAGACCAUUUUGUUCUUAUUUGUCCAUAUUUUGAGCUGCUCUAAUGUGUCGGUAUUUCUUGUCCUUUUCUUUUGGUUCUAUCCAUAUUUCUUUUUUCAUUUUCGAGGUAGAGCCGAUGAGAUAUCUUUGAGUGAAAAUCUAUGGAGGAUUUGUUAACAUGUGCUUGGUCGGGAUCCAAUUUGUUAGUUUCUCAAGUAUAUUUCUUGAUGUUGUUAUGCUUUACUUUAUAGGCUUUUGCGUUUGCAUUUGAAUUUUUUUUGAUGGCAUGAAAUUUGGUGUUUGAAUGCGAAGAGUGCAAUAUAAAUUUUCCCCAAGAUGGAUUCGUGAGACUAUAGAUUUGGGAAGUUCCCAAUCCUCUGCUCAGAUCGAAUAGAUAAGUUGAGUGCUUUUGAUAAGUUGAGCACAUUGUUAUUUUUGACUGGGUUUUGUCUGUGCUGCAG
rnacentral:lncRNA from 1 species